rnacentral:rRNA from 1 species
GACGAACGCUGGCGGCGUGCCUAAUACAUGCAAGUCGAGCGGAACUGGGGGAGCUUGCUCCUUCCAGUUUAGCGGCGGACGGGUGAGUAACACGUGGGCAACCUGCCCUGCAGAUCGGGAUAACUCCGGGAAACCGGUGCUAAUACCGAAUAGUUUGGCGCCUCUCCUGAGGCGCCGCGGAAAGACGGUUUCGGCUGUCACUGCAGGAUGGGCCCGCGGCGCAUUAGCUAGUUGGGGGGGUAACGGCCCACCAAGGCGACGAUGCGUAGCCGACCUGAGAGGGUGACCGGCCACACUGGGACUGAGACACGGCCCAGACUCCUACGGGAGGCAGCAGUAGGGAAUCUUCCGCAAUGGACGCAAGUCUGACGGAGCAACGCCGCGUGAGUGACGAAGGUUUUCGGAUCGUAAAACUCUGUUGUGAGGGAAGAACACGUACCAACUAACUAUUGGUACCUUGACGGUACCUCACCAGAAAGCCACGGCUAACUACGUGCCAGCCGCCGCAGUAA